rnacentral:rRNA from 1 species
UACGAAGGGGGCUAGCGUUGUUCGGAAUUACUGGGCGUAAAGCGCGCGCAGGCGGUUCUUCAAGUCAGAGGUGAAAGCCCAGAGCUCAACUCUGGAAUGGCCUUUGAGACUAGAGAACUUGGGUACGGGAGAGGUGAGUGGAAUUCCGAGUGUAGAGGUGAAAUGCGUAGAGAUCGGGAGGAACACCAGUGGCGAAGGCGGUGGCCUGGACCGAUGCUGACGCUGAGGCGCGAAAGCGUGGGGAGCGAUCCGG